UACGAAGGGGGCGAGCGUUGUUCGGAUUUACUGGGCGUAAAGGGCGCGCAGGCGGCGAUCUUUGUCAGGCGUGAAAGCCCCGGGCUUAACCUGGGAACUGCGCUUGGGACGGGAUUGCUGGAGACCGGGAGAGGAGAGUGGAAUUCCCAGUGUAGAGGUGAAAUUCGUAGAUAUUGGGAAGAACACCGGUGGCGAAGGCGGCUCUCUGGACCGGAUCUGACGCUGAAGCGCGAAAGCGUGGGGAGCUAACAGG
rnacentral:rRNA from 1 species